GGCCAUGCCCCUGGAGGGGUCUUUCAGGUGUGUCUUGGCUAAGGUGUACACAUAUAACCCCUGGGCCUGGUCACCUCAGGAUGGAAGUCUGAGUAGGACAUCUCUGAGAGGCUAUGGAAAACAAUUGAAUGCUGACACCCACUAUGCCAGCUACCCAACGCUGAUACCCACUAUGCCAGCUACCAGAAGGCUGGCACCCACUAUGCCAGCCACCAGAAGCCUGAAGCGACGUCUCGGGUUAUCACUUGUUGAAGAAGGGGACAUGCCUGUGAGCUGGCAAUCUGGGCAUUACAAGAUAAUUAUUUAG
rnacentral:lncRNA from 1 species